GAUGAACGCUGGCGGCGUGCCUAAUACAUGCAAGUCGAGCGAAGCGGGGACGGGUGAGUAACACGUGGAUAACCUCCUAUAAGACUGGGAUAACUUCGGGAAACCGGAGCUAAACCGGAUACUAAUAGAUGGAUCCGCGCUGCAUUAGCUAGGUGGUAAGGUAACGGCUUACCAAGGCAACGAUGCAUAGACGACCUGAGAGGGUGAUCGGCAACACUGUACCUUAGACACUGUCCCGCCUCCUACGGGAGGCAGCAGUAGGGAAUCUGCCGCAGUGGGCGGAAGCCUGACGGAGCAACGCCGCGUGAGUGAUGAAGGUCUGCGGAUCGUAAAACUCUGUUAUUAGGGAAGCGGUACCUAAUCAGAAAGCCACGGCUAACUACGUGCCAGCAGCCGCGGUAAUAC
rnacentral:rRNA from 1 species